GCCCCCAUCGUCUAGUGGUUCAGGACAUCUCU
rnacentral:tRNA from 2 species